AUUGAACGCUGGCGGCAGGCCUAACACAUGCAAGUCGAGCGGAUGAGUGGAGCUUGCUCCACGAUUCAGCGGCGGACGGGUGAGUAAUGCCUAGGAAUCUGCCUGGUAGUGGGGGACAACGUUUCGAAAGGAACGCUAAUACCGCAUACGUCCUACGGGAGAAAGGGGGGGAGCUUCGGACCUCACGCUAUCAGAUGAGCCUAGGUCGGAUUAGCUAGUUGGUGAGGUAAAGGCUCACCAAGGAGACGAUCCGUAACUGGUCUGAGAGGAUGAUCAGUCACACUGGAACUGAGACACGGUCCAGACUCCUACGGGAGGCAGCAGUGGGGAAUAUUGGACAAUGGGCGAAAGCCUGAUCCAGCCAUGCCGCGUGUGUGAAGAAGGUCUUCGGAUUGUAAAGCACUUUAAGUUGGGAGGAAGGGCAGUAAGUUAAUACCUUGCUGUUUUGACGUUACCAACAGAAUAAGCACCGGCUAACUUCGUGCCAGCCGCCGCAGUAAGAC
rnacentral:rRNA from 1 species